AUACGUAGGUGGCAAGCGUUGUCCGGAUUUACUGGGUGUAAAGGGCGUGCAGCCGGGACGGCAAGUCAGAUGUGAAAUCCAUGGGCUUAACCCAUGAACUGCAUUUGAAACUGUCGUUCUUGAGUACCGGAGGGGCAAUCGGAAUUCCUAGUGUAGCGGUGAAAUGCGUAGAUAUUAGGAGGAACACCAGUGGCGAAGGCGGAUUGCUGGACGGCAACUGACGGUGAGGCGCGAAAGUGUGGGGAGCAAACAGGAUUAGAUACCCUGGUAGUCCACACUGUAAACGAUGAAUGCUAGGUGUAAGAGGUAUCGACCCCUUUUGUGCCGGAGUUAACACAAUAAGCAUUCCGCCUGGGGAGUACGGCCGCAAGGUUGAAACUCAAAUGAAUUGACGGGG
rnacentral:rRNA from 1 species